rnacentral:misc_RNA from 1 species
GAUGAAGAACGCAGCGAAAUGCGAUAAGUAAUGUGAAUUGCAGAAUUCAGUGAAUCAUCGAAUCUUUGAACGCACAUUGCGCCCGCCAGUAUUCUGGCGGGCAUGCCUGUUCGAGCGUCAUUUCAACCAUCAAGCCCCGGGCUUGUGUUGGGGACCUGCGGCUGCCGCAGGCCCUGAAAUCCAGUGGCGGUCUCGCCGUCGCACCGAGCGUAGUAGCAUACUUCUCGCUCCGGGCGCGCGGCGGGCACCUGCCGUAAAACCCCCCUAUUUCUCAAGGUUGACCUCGGAUCAGGUAGGAAUACCCGCUGAACUUAAGCAUAUCAAUAAGCGGAGGA